rnacentral:lncRNA from 1 species
UGUCAAUUAGCUUUGGGUAGAGAAUCAUGUUGUACAGUUUAAACAAAUUGAUGGAUAAAUAAAGAAUAUUUUCCCACUGAUAACUACUACUUUAGGUCAUUUUAGAUUUUACUUGUAUUAACAUUUAAAGAAUGGAGGUGGGCAGAUACAUUUUCAGUGAGGGAAAAACUGAAUUAAUAUUUUUGUAGACAUGGGAUACAAUUCAUAAGGGCUUUUCCAUUAAAACAUAUAUGGUACAUAGGG